UAAACCCUACGGGGCGCAGCAGUGAGGAAUAUUGGUCAAUGGGAGGAAUCCUGAACCAGCCAUGCCGCGUGCAGGACGACGGCUCUACGAGUUGUAAACUGCUUUUGUACCGGGGUAAAAUGCCUUACGAGUAGGGUUUUGAAAGUACGGUACGAAUAAGGAUCGGCUAACUCCGUGCCAGCAGCCGCGGUAAUACGGAGGAUCCGAGCGUUAUCCGGAUUCAUUGGGUUUAAAGGGGGCGUAGGGUGUUUUAUAAGUUAGCGGUGAAAUACAGAUGCUCAACAUCGGGGCUGCCGCUA
rnacentral:rRNA from 1 species